rnacentral:rRNA from 1 species
GACAGAGGGUGCAAGCGUUGUUCGGAAUUACUGGGCGUAAAGGGCGCGUAGGCGGUCCGCUAAGUUCGGCGUGAAAUCCCCUGGCUCAACUGGGGAACGGCGCUGGAUACUGGUGGACUCGAGUACCGGAGAGGAGAGUGGAAUUCCUGGUGUAGCUGUGAAAUGCGUAGAUAUCAGGAGGAACACCGGUGGCGAAGGCGGCUCUCUGGACGGAUACUGACGCUGAGGCGCGAAAGCGUGGGGAUCAAACAGG